GACGAACGCUGGCGGCGUGCUUAACACAUGCAAGUCGAACGGAAAGGCCCUGCUUUUGUGGGGUGCUCGAGUGGCGAACGGGUGAGUAACACGUGAGUAACCUGCCCUUGACUUUGGGAUAACUUCAGGAAACUGGGGCUAAUACCGGAUAGGAGCUCCUGCUGCAUGGUGGGGGUUGGAAAGUUUCGGCGGUUGGGGAUGGGCUCGCGGCUUAUCAGCUUGUUGGUGGGGUAGUGGCUUACCAAGGCUUUGACGGGUAGCCGGCCUGAGAGGGUGACCGGCCACAUUGGGACGGAGAUACGGCCCAGACUCCUACGGGAGGCAGCAGUGGGGAAUAUUGCAAAGUGGGGGGAAGCCUGAUGCAGCAACGCCGCGUGCGGGAUGACGGCCUUCGGGUUGUAACCCGCUUUCGCCUGUGACGAAGCGGGAGUGACGGUAAUGGGUAAAGAAGCACCGGCUAACUACGUG
rnacentral:rRNA from 1 species